GACGGAGGGUGCAAGCGUUGUUCGGAUUGACUGGGCGUAAAGGGCGUGUAGGCGGUUGGUCAAGUCCGAUGUGAAAGCCCGGGGCUCAGCUUCGGAAGUGCAUCGGAAACUAGCCAGCUGGAGCGCGAUAGAGGAGGGCGGAAUUCCUGGUGUAGCGGUGAAAUGCGCAGAUAUCAGGAAGAACACCCGUGGCGAAGGCGGCUCUCUGGUACGUGACUGACGCUGAGACGCGAAAGCGUGGGGAGCAAACAGG
rnacentral:rRNA from 1 species